rnacentral:rRNA from 1 species
UAGCGUAGGGGCUAGCGUUGUCCGGAAUCAUUGGGCGUAAAGCGCGUGUAGGCGGUCCGGUAAGUCCGCUGUGAAAGUCGAGGGCUCAACCCUCGAAUGCCGGUGGAUACUGUCGGGCUUGAGUACGGGAGAGGCGAGUGGAAUUCCUGGUGUAGCGGUAGAAAUGCGCAGAUAUCAGGAGGAACACCGAUUGCGAAGGCAGCUCGCUGGAACGUUACUGACGCUGAGAACGCGAAAGCGUGGGAGCAAACAGG